CGUUAAGACUGUCAGUGUUUGGC
rnacentral:miRNA from 1 species